AACUAAGUAGUGGAAGCAUAUAAUUGCAAAUUUAGAGAAGCGUAAGGCUUAGUUA
rnacentral:tRNA from 1 species